GACUGUUCGAGGGGGUUUGUUUUAAGGAGUGAGUUUGCCAAGCUUAGCAAUGAGGUUAAAGCUUUCAAGGAUUUGGUCAAGACGACUUUUCAACAUUCAUUUGACAAAUCAGCUCAUGAGAUUUGCUAAAUAAAGACUGGCCUAAAAAUUCGGUGGUAGGACUCUUCUUAAUCACUUUCCAGUUCAGUAUCAGUGGAACUCUGUUAGCAACACAGAUUGCAAUAUCUGGAUUGACAUUGGAACAACACUCGUAUAUCCAGAUUUGCAAAGCCAGGGAUAACCCACCAGGGAUAACCCACCAAACCUAUGAAAGGUUUUGACACGAUACAAUUUUUUCCUAAUAGAUUUCAUCAAGUUUUUGAAAACAAAGUUUCCCCAUGAAAAAUCUUAUAUUCUCCGCUCUCAACUAAGUGAAAGUAUUGAUCGCUUAUGAAAAUCCUUUUGGUGACGGCAGAUAAUAGGAAUGUGUAAAUAAAGUAGAGAAUAGCAAUCUUUACAGCAUCUUCAUCUGAAAGCCACCUUUCCUUGGAAAAACAUUCCACAAGGUCAUUCUUAUCUACUUUGACUUUGCCUGGGAAAUAUGUUUGCUUUAGCCUGUUUGAAUCCUCAAAAAAA